rnacentral:precursor_RNA from 12 species
AGGCAGGAAGGAGAUCUGGGAGCCUUGGUGCUGGGGACCACAGAGAGCUCCUCUCGGGCCCUGAGCUUCCUGUGUCUCCCCUAGGCCGCCUGGACGUCGGCGUGGAGCAUGUUA